rnacentral:lncRNA from 10 species
CUGGGGCGAGGUGCUGUUAGUGCUUCUGAGGAGGUUGGGCAGGAUAGACGGUGGCUGUCAGCCCAUGAGAGACCUCCCUGCAGAGCUGUGGCCUCUGGAAAUGCUUCCUGUCGUUGACAUCUGGUCACCAUUCUCCAGCUGGGGCUGUGGAGGGCAGCACAGGCCUGGAGUGUCCCCGAGAGCAGCUGGGCGUCUGCCCCUGCCCACCCCACAGGGCCUCCCACUCACAGGGCCUAAUUAGCAGCUCCAUGGCUGCCAUACCUGGCGGACCGCCCUCAGCGGCCACAUAUAUCCUUGCCCCAAGCCAAUGACAGGUCUGAAGAAGACACUGAUGGAGCUGAAGCACAGGACAGAGACAAGCACCUGUGUGCCGGACGCUCACGGAGCACUUGAUGUGUGCUGACUGGCUCACAUCACGGUGGUCAGACGAGGGUAGCAUCCCCAUUCUCCAGAUGGUGUAACUGAGGCAAGGAGAGGCUAAGUAACUUGUCCAAGGUCACACCCGAGGGAGUUGGACUUCAGGGUCUCAGCUCUGAGCAUCAGGCACACUGCCCAGAUUCCCCCUCCACAUGUCACACCUGUUAGGCCACUGGGGGUAAGGAGCCUUUCUGUGGCCUCGCUCCCCUGUGAGCCCCUGGGAGGG